AUUGAACGCUGGCGGCAUGCUUUACACAUGCAAGUCGAAUGGUAACAGGUUAAGCUGACGAGUGGCGAACGGGUGAGUAAUGCAUCGGAACGUGCCCGAUCGUGGGGGAUAACGCAGCGAAAGCUGCGCUAAUACCGCAUACGAUCUGAGGAUGAAAGCGGGGGACCGUAAGGCCUCGCGCGAUCGGAGCGGCCGAUGUCAGAUUAGGUAGUUGGUGGGGUAAAGGCCCACCAAGCCGACGAUCUGUAGCUGGUCUGAGAGGACGACCAGCCACACGGGGACUGAGACACGGCCCAGACUCCUACGGGAGGCAGCAGUGGGGAAUUUUGGACAAUGGGCGAAAGCCUGAUCCAGCAAUGCCGCGUGCAGGAAGAAGGCCUUCGGGUUGUAAACUGCUUUUGUACGGAGCGAAAAGGUCCUUUCUAAUACAGGGGGCUCAUGACGGUACCGUAAGAAUAAGCACCGGCUAACUACGUGCCAGCCGCCGCCGUAA
rnacentral:rRNA from 1 species